GUGAGGAAUAUUGGUCAAUGGGCGCAAGCCUGAACCAGCCAUCCCGCGUGAAGGAAGAAGGCGCUAUGCGUUGUAAACUUCUUUUCCAGGGAAAUAAAAUUUCGUACGUGUACGGAACUGAAGGUACCCUGGGAAUAAGCAUCGGCUAACUCCGUGCCAGCAGCCGCGGUAAUACGGAGGAUGCAAGCGUUAUCCGGAUUUAUUGGGUUUAAAGGGUGCGCAGGCGGAAAAAUAAGUCAGUGGUGAAAUCCUGCAGCUUAACUGUAGAAUUGCCGUUGAUACUGUUAUUCUUGAGUGUGGUCAAGGUAGGCGGAAUGUGUAAUGUAGCGGUGAAAUGCUUAGAUAUUACACAGAACACCGAUUGCGAAGGCAGCUUACUGGGCCAUUACUGACGCUCAUGCACGAAAGCGUGGGGAUCGAACAGGAUUAGAAACCCUGGUAGUCC
rnacentral:rRNA from 1 species